rnacentral:miRNA from 1 species
GCGUGUCUGACCCGAAAUUGACCC